rnacentral:tRNA from 3 species
GCGCGGGUGGCGGAAUGGCAGACGCGCUAGCUUGAGGUGCUAGUCCUCGAAAGGGGGUGGGGGUUCAAGUCCCCUCCGCGCACAA